CACGGUCCCAAGAGAAUGCAGGCGUGGGCGGAUCGUCGAGGGGUGAAAGAAUAAACACUUCAAUGACGACCAAACCACUUCAAAGUGGUUUUAAGAACGCAUUAUCCAGAGAUCAGCACUUCUUGGCGCGAUAUAUUGUCACCACCAGCCGUCUGCCUGCAUCUCUGUUCACUGUUUCGACUGAUCCUUGCUGGAAGUUAUCGUGGCUCGUGGCAGCAUCUUUACUGCAAAGAGGAUAAUCUAACCAUGCAGGGUUAGGUUUUUUAUAUUAACAGAGUGUGGUUGACAGAACUGUUGUGGAAACUGCUUCAAUUGAAAGGAUUAGUAACCGAUUUAUGUAGACACUGGAAUGUAUACAAUGAUUGCGAUUCUCUAUUAAACACUAGAAAUGGCUACCGCGGCAUAAGUGCGUUCUGCUAUUAAAAAGCAUCUUGAAUGUCCAAUAUGUCAUGACAGAUAUAAACAGCCCAAGGUACUCAAUUACUUGCAUAGCUUCUGUGAGGAAUGUGUGAU